rnacentral:tRNA from 1 species
AGCUGGGAUAGCUCAGCUGGUAAAGCAUGAGACUCUUAACCUCAGGGUCGUGGGUUUGAGCCCUAUGUUGGUCA